UACGUAGGGGGCGAGCGUUGUCCGGAUUUAUUGGGCGUAAAGAGCGUGUAGGCGGUUCGGUAAGUCUGUCGUGAAAUCCUGAGGCUCAACCCCGGAACUGCCCUUGAAACUGCAGUGCUAGAAUCUUGGAGAGGCGAGUGGAAUUCCGAGUGUAGAGGUGAAAUUCGUAGAUAUUCGGAAGAACACCAGUGGCGAAGGCGACUCGCUGGACAAGUAUUGACGCUGAGGUGCGAAAGCGUGGGGAGCAAACAGG
rnacentral:rRNA from 1 species